rnacentral:misc_RNA from 1 species
GUGCAUGUAGUCGAUUAUAAUUAACACUGUCGCAGAAACUACAUCGGUACAACAGCCAAGAGUGAAUUCCUUAAGGAACACAUCUUCAUGCGUAAUGAUAAACAGAUUUCCAAGACACCCUGUAUGUACAUGUACCCGUAACGUACUUACGUUCAGAUAUAGCACGUACAGGGAGCAUUUUGAAGGUUGACGUCAUCUACGUCCCAC